rnacentral:lncRNA from 1 species
AAUUGAAUUGAUGCUAGCAGAGAUAUUAGCAGCAAAACCUGAAACUGAAUUAGAGAACAUUUAUUAUGAAUAGCUCAUAUGAAUAUUUUUAAUAUGCAAAUAAUAAUAAUAUCAAAUAGUGAUAGGGCCCAUCACAAGAUACCAAGCACAACAUCAAUAUCCAGUCUUGGGACAGAGAUAUUGACUUGUAAGUGGUACUCUUGGCGUAGUGAUCAAAUAUUGACGAUAAAAUAAUGUGUCAAUCAAUAAACCUUUCUUUGGACCAAUUUAUUGAUCACACAUUAAACUAAAUAAUCG